rnacentral:rRNA from 1 species
UCCAGACUCCUACGGGAGGCAGCAGUGGGGAAUAUUGGACAAUGGGGGGAACCCUGAUCCAGCGACGCCGCGUGAGUGAAGAAGUGUUUCGGUAUGUAAAGCUCUAUCAGCAGGGAAGAAAGAAAUGACGGUACCUGACUAAGAAGCCCCGGCUAACUACGUGCCAGCAGCCGCGGUAAUACGUAGGGGGCAAGCGUUAUCCGGAUUUACUGGGUGUAAAGGGAGCGUAGACGGCGAUGCAAGUCUGAAGUGAGAGGCGGGGGCCCAACCGCCGGACUGCUUUGGAAACUGUAUGGCUGGAGUGCAGGAGAGGUAAGUGGAAUUCCUAGUGUAGCGGUGAAAUGCGUAGAUAUUAGGAGGAACACCAGUGGCGAAGGCGGCUUACUGGACUGUAACUGACGUUGAGGCUCGAAAGCGUGGGGAGCAAACAGGAUUAGAUACCCGUGUAAC